GGCGUAGCUCAACGGCAGAGCAGCUGCUUUGUAAGCAGCAGGUUGCGGGUUCGAAUCCCACCGCC
rnacentral:tRNA from 1 species